rnacentral:rRNA from 1 species
CGGACGGGUGAGUAAUGUCUGGGAAACUGCCCGAUGGAGGGGGAUAACUACUGGAAACGGUAGCUAAUACCGCAUAACGUCGCAAGACCAAAGAGGGGGACCUUCGGCCUCUUGCCAUCGGAUGUGCCCAGAUGGGAUUAGCUAGUAGGUGGGGUAACGGCUCACCUAGGCGACGAUCCCUAGCUGGUCUGAGAGGAUGACCAGCCACACUGGAACUGAGACACGGUCCAG